UACAGAGGGUGCAAGCGUUAAUCGGAAUUACUGGGCGUAAAGCGUGCGCAGACGGUUGCGUAAGUCUUAUGUGAAAUCUACAGGCUCAACUUGUAGUCUGCAUGAGAAACUGCCGGGCUUGAGUAUGGGAGAGGUGAGUGGAAUUCCUGGUGUAGCGGUGAAAUGCGUAGAUAUCAGGAGGAACACCUGUGGCGAAAGCGGCUCACUGGACCAUAACUGACGCUGAUGCACGAAAGCUAGGGGAGCAAACAGG
rnacentral:rRNA from 1 species